GACGUAGGGCGCAAGCGUUGUCCGGAUUUAUUGGGCGUAAAGAGCGUGUAGGCGGCCUGGAAGGUCAGCUGUGAAAACUCGAGGCUCAACCUCGAGACGUCGGUUGAAACCACCUGGCUAGAGUCCGGAAGAGGAGAAUGGAAUUCCCGGUGUAGCGGUGAAAUGCGCAGAUAUCGGGAAGAACACCCGUGGCGAAGGCGGUUCUCUGGGACGGUACUGACGCUGAGACGCGAAAGCGUGGGGAGCGAACAGG
rnacentral:rRNA from 1 species